UCACCCGCGGGGAAGUACGAGUCGUAUAAAAGCUGAAUGUCGCGCUACGGCGUCAUACCUCAGACGGUUUAAGUACUGUUCAUACGACCAGAACAGUUUCGGGUAUCCUAACUUCAAAUCAUGAAGCCGUCAAAAUCCUCAUUAUACGUCGCCGUGUUCCUGAGCCUGAUCGUGUCCCAAUACCUGGUGGCGGGACAAGUAGGACUAUAUAACUCAUUUGGGCCUAGGAUUAAUCCUAAUCCAAUUAGUCGCUUUCUCCCACUAUUGGUCGGUUGCGGCGUCGGUUACAUCCUUGGCAAAUUCCUGGCAUGUAAUCACUGUCAUUCCUGUAGCGAGGAGAAUGAUAACACUGCUGCCGACUGUACUGAUGAGGAAGGGUGUGAACUUGUAACUCAACCCACCGGAGUAGCACCAAAUAACGUCAUAUGUACUUGCACUGACGACGUUUUGGAUAUCUUUAAAUAAAUGGAGUGUGCUUGCAGCUUCGUUAAAAUGGAAAACAGGAGCGUGCUUAUUGUUUUUAUUCAUGCGAUUCUUUAGAAUAAAAGAUGCUUCAAAUUGAUUUUA